ensembl:snRNA Gm26034 predicted gene, 26034
GUGCUCAGAUGGACAGCCCCUGUGGUGAACAUGGGGAUGGAGACAGAGAAGAUUAGCACUGCCCUCGUGCAAGGAUGACACAUGAACACAUUGAACUCGUGAAGCACUCACAUUUU